GAAGAAGAAAUUAAUUUGUGGGCACAUUAAAUAUAUGCUAAUGGACAAUAAAAUGCUCAGUGUUAAUUUUGCACAAAGCAGGCGAGACUCAUAAAUGUCUGCAUAUAAAAAUUGCAUGUUCGCAAGAAUGAUUAGAGAUUUUUUAUCCUCCACAUCAUUAAUAAAAAUCAAACACCUCAAGCACGUGGUUUCAAAUACAUCAGUCAUUUUCUGGUAGCUAAGGCAGUGUCCAAAAUUUGUGCCAGUUUUGACAGUGAAUCUCACCGUGUCACUGUGCCUGUUCCAACAUUAGUAUUACUCCCACAAUUAUCACUGUAUUUUAGUUCAAAGGCUGAAACUUUAUUAAAAUGUUGACCAGUUCAAGAAGUCACCAGUAAAAACACAAAUCUUAAACUGUGUCUCAUUAACUUUAGAAGCUCAAACCCAUUCAUAAAGCAGGAAAAAACCCAACACUGUAUAAAAACCUGGACUUACCAGAGUCCGUGUCCUAGCCCAUGCAGCAGUAUGUGUGUGUGGGGGGGGGGGGGGGGGGUGCAGAGACCCCGCAAGUGCAGAGGAUACAAUGUUGAAACACAUGCAGGGAGAAUGAAUUAAAGGCAAGGAGAAUGCAGCAAGAUUAUGGAACAUGAUCUUCGAGUCAACCGUUUCCCAGUGGUCAAGUGGCAGUUAGUUGGGG